AUAGCUUCUCAGCCUUUUGGCUAAGAUCAAGUGUAGUAUCUGAAAACACAGCACUGCACUAGCUACUAAGAAGGAGAAAAAUAACUAUUACAGCUGAAUCCAGGACAGCACUGUACACUCUCUAAUGCAAAAAGUUCAUUAGACUUUUUGAUAGGGCAAUGAAG
rnacentral:snRNA from 1 species